rnacentral:rRNA from 1 species
UACAGAGGAUGCAAGCGUUAUCCGGAAUGAUUGGGCGUAAAGCGUCUGUAGGUGGCUUUUUAAGUCCGCCGUCAAAUCCCAGGGCUCAACUCUGGACAGGCGGUGGAAACUACCAAGCUGGAGUACGGUAGGGGCAGAGGGAAUUUCCGGUGGAGCGGUGAAAUGCGUAGAUACCCGGAGGAACACCAGUGGCGAAGGCGGCUUCCUGGUCUGCUACUGACGCUGUGGCGCGAAAGCUAGGGGAGCGAACGGG